rnacentral:misc_RNA from 1 species
AAUUCUCAACCCCUCUCGAUUUUCUUCGAGCGGGUGCUUGGAUCUUGGGGGCUGCCGGAGACUUGGAUUCGUCCAGGACUCGGGCUCUCCUUAAAUGAAUCGGCUUGCGGUCGACUUUCGACUUUGCGCGACAAGGCUUUCGGAGUGAUAAUGAUCUCCGUUCGCUGAAGCGCAUGAAUGAAGGUCCCGCGCCUCUAAUACGUCGACGCGCCUUCCGGCCCGUCUUCUUUCUUGAC